GACGGGGGAUGCAAGUGUUAUCCGGAAUCACUGGGCGUAAAGCGUCUGCAGGUGGUUUCCUAAGUCCACUGUUAAACCUUGAGGCUCAACCUCAAAUCUGCAUUGGAAACUAGGAGACUUGAGUAUAGUAGGGGCAGGGGGAAUUUCCGGUGGAGCGGUGAAAUGCGUAGAGAUCGGAAAGAACACCAACGGCGAAAGCACUCUGCUGGGCCGACACUGACACUGAGAGACGAAAGCUAGGGGAGCGAAUGGG
rnacentral:rRNA from 1 species